CUGCUGGUUAGUAGGUGGUGUUGUAAAAUACCUCAAGGUGCGUUCCUCAACCAUAUGCUCUGUUUCUGCUUCUAUUUCGAUUGAUGUGUUGUUUUCUUUAAAACUUGUACUCUAUUGACACGUUUUCUUCUUCAUCUUGGUUUGUUUCCUUAUAUUCUUGGCAUAUUUCUUAAUUUCUUGAUAAUAAAGAAUAAGUUCUCCACGAUCAAACCCGGUCAUAAAAACAAAGAAAAAAAAAAUUAGUAACUCUCAAUUCCCCAGCAAUUGUGUCGAAAUUUGAUGAGUGUCGAAUCUACCAGAAAUAAAUUCCUAAGUAACCAAUAAAACAAUAUUGUAGUUGUGGUAAGAAGAGUCAAAUCCACAGAGAAUUGGAAAAUAAUUUUCUUCCUUGACCAACGAAUAAAAAUGAAUAAGAGAGGUUUUGUAGAAUCUAAUAUGCAAAAUAUAAAAUAUACAACGAGCUGAGUAAUAUUAAAAAAAACUCUUGGCUAUAAAUUAGAAACUAAAACAAUUAUAAGAAGGAUUAUUAGUUGACGAAAUAGUUAGUUCCAGUAAUUUAAUUGAUCAUAGAUGUAAAAAUUCAUUUUACUCAAAAUAUGGCAAAUCAAUUAUAGUUGUCAGAAACGUUCUGAUAACUAAUUCUUUCUUAUUCGUGAACCAACCAAGAAACGUUCGUUAGUUGGUUAGCAGUCUUAAGAAUGUUUAGAAAAUUUAACUUGUCGAUGGCCUUGAGAGUUAGAAAGACCUAAUUCAAGUUGUCUGAUUUAAAAUAUGUUUUAUAUUUAUUCAAAGUUGAAUAAAAAUUAUUCUAAUAAGAUUUACAUUAGUGGAAAUUUUGUUUAGAUAUAUAUUUUUUUUAGCUUAAAAGAAAACCGAACUGGUUAAAGUUAAAUAUUGUUUAAUUCUAAUCUCGACCCAUGUAUAAAAAUAUAAAAGAAUUCAAUAUAGUUUUCAAUCUAGAUUAGACAAGACUAAAUUACAAGAAAAUAUCAACUUUUAUUUUUAAGCACUAAAUGUUGAAAAAAAAAUAAAAAACUAUAUUUAUGUGAUGAUAACUGAAGAAAAGCCUAAUGACAAACAGGAGGUUCCUACGAAAAUUGAAGGGCGAAAAAGGUUAAGCCAUAGUGUGCUUCCUUGACAGACUCAUAAAGGAUUCCCAAAAAGAAAGUACCUAAGAUGAAUUCACCCAGGCACACGACCAAGGUAGUGAAUCAGGGAUAAAAAAAGAGUAACUGGAUCCAAGCCUUGGCCUAAAAAGAGGAAGAUUAGAAAAAUGGGAAACAGAAAAUUAUUGGGUCUCAUGGCCAAGAAAAGACUCGAUCCAUGAAUCUUGGCCCAAAAGGAAGCCCAAAACAUGAUUUGGGCAUGGAUACCCAUUAAGUACACCUGUGUAGCCCUUCACACAUAUGAACCAUAGCCCUUCACAUAUGUGAACCAUAGCCCUCACACAUGCGACCACUUUACCCUAAUGGAAAAGCAUGUGGGGCAUGCGUGCAACAACACCCACACACCACAUAGCGCGCACAAAGGCACAUGACUGCCCAGCUGCAUACGCAACAACUACACCUAUACGGACAGGUCAACCUACACAAAAUAGCAUGCGUACACAUGCACGCGGGCAACCAAGCACACGUGCAACCCAUACACAUGUUCAGGCCGCAUCAGGUAAAGGAUUUCUGCGUGCCCAUUCCACGCGACCCACGCACUUGCGCAGUUCCAGCAUCUGACCCGUGCGUCUCUAAUAAGCUAUCCGCACGAGCCACCUAAUUUUGAGUUCUUUUGGACUUCUUUUCUUGCUUUUCCAAGUUUUUCAAGGAUUCUAAGACUUCUACAAUUUACCCCAUCUGUUUAAGGAGAAUUUCAACUUAAAUUGGAAGUCCAAGGAAGAUCAAGCUACUUGAAAAUUUGGAUAAGAAGAAAAUAAUGUUUUAUUAAUUAUUUUUAUUAAGUUAGGAUAAGAACAAAUUAUUUUAAUAGUCUAAGAAUGUGGAUAAGAAUUUAUAAUCUUAUUCUACUAGAAUUAGUCAAUAAAAUUCUAUAUAAAGGCUUUAGUCCUUAGGAUAUAAUCAUGACUUUUGAGAUUAAUAAAUUAAGCUUUUGUUUUCUUUAAAAUUAGCUUUGGCUAAUUUCUUUGAUUGUUCUUCAAAGUUAGGGAGCUUUCAAAAGUUUUCUUUAGUUGAAGAGUUGCAAUCGACUUAUCAAGUAAGUCGUGACAUCUUUUCUUCUUCUUUUAUUUUCUCUAUUGUCUUGUUUUUACAUGUUAUUUAGGUGAGUAUAAAUUCAAGUAGGGAGGGAGAAUUAGAUGGUUAAAUCUUCUAAUUGUAUGCAUUGAUUGAGGUUCUCGGAGUCAAAACGAUCCUCCCCAUACCUUUCCGUGUCAGUUAGUAUAAGAGCUUGGGCUCUUAAUGAACCUAUUAUCUUUAUAGUUUUAUCAUUCUUGUUCAUAAAUUAGCAAUUCAACUUUAUUGAUUGCUAGUUCAUUUUGUAUAUCGCUUGGAUUCAUAUUAUCUAUUUAAUUGAAGUAGUUUUAUGUUUUUUUCAUUAGUAAAAAAAAUACAAAUCAAAAACUCAAAAAAUAUCUCAAUUGUACCUUAUAAGGCAAUUGGCAAAUUGUUUGUAUUUAAGAAAUACAAAAGAAGAGUAACUACCUUGUUGUGUGAUGGAAAACCUUUAAAGUGUGAAAGGAAGAGUAAAUCACCUACCAAGUAUGCAUGAAAACUUUUGUUUUCAUUCUGGUGCAUAAAGUAAAGAAAGAUUAACUCACGUCGGUGAACAAAAACCAUUGUUUCACGUUUAUUUUUUGUUUUACAUUCUAAAAUUUUACAACAAUGUUGUAUAAACAAACUUGACCAGUCGUAGAGCGUAGUCAUCAUCGAGGUAGUAUAACUAGGAGACACCUUCCAAUUAUAUCCAUCGGGAUUGAUCGGAUCCUUUAUGCUUUAAGUCCGUACUUUUUUCUUUGUGAUCUACGUUUUUAUCCUUUCAGAGUGCUUUUGUUCCAGUACAUACUUAAGUGACUAACCAUUUCUAAUUACUCAACCAAUAAAAAAAGCACACCAUUAUUAUUUUUUUUGUUUGUUUCUUAGCUUUUGUAGAAAUCAAAUUCCCUUAUGAUUCCUUAUUAUGUCAUUAAGACUAACCUAUAGAUCUUAAUCUAAGUGGAUCCGAUUUCGAACGCUCAACUCGACAGAAGAAGUUGUAGUGUGAGAGAUUGUGAGGUAAACAUGCACGAAGAUGAGGGACAGUUUAUUUAGUUUCAAUAACCUUUGUCUUUACAGGAACAUCGCUAUGUCUCACCAAAGUGCCAAUAGUAGACCCGUCACCAUGAAAGAGAGGAUCAUAAACAUGUUUACCAAGCUGAGUGUCCAUAUGGGGAACAUGACUGCACGAAUAGAUCGGGCAGAAUGGGGAAGCAGCUGCACCUGUGCUCAACGCCAAAUAAUGCAGAAUGAGAUAAGAUCUUGUAGGGAUGAUAUGGGUAACAGCUGAGGAGAUCGACGAUAAGAAGUGGGAGGAGAUUUCAUUACCUUUAAGCUGUAAAUACUAGCUUUCCAAUGGAUAAUAAUGUUGAGGUCUACCUAAAAUGGGAACAAAAGGUCGAUCGCAUCUUUGGUUGCCGCAACUACAGUGAAGAGAAAAAUCUUAAGUUGGCAACCUUUGAAUUUACUGAAUAUGUCUCAAUCUAGUGGAAUAAGUUAGUUGCUCUCAAAGAAUGAGAUGGAGAUGAAUCUAUCUAAAUCUGAAGAGAGUUAAGAUCCAUCAUGAAGAAAUAGUUUGUACCAUCCCAUUUUGAUAGGGACAUGAACCUGAAGCUACAGCGUCUGACUCAGGGUUCCAAGAUAAUAAAAAAAUAUCAUAAGGAGAUGGAGAUCACCAUGAUUUGAGGUAGGGUUGAAGAACAACCAGAAGCUACUAUGUUUCGGAUCUUAGAGGCCCUAAACAAGGAGAUUGUCAAUAUCCUUAAACUACAAAACUAUGUCGACUUUGAAUAAAUGGUACAUAAGAUUACCAAAAUUGGAAGGUACUUGAAAGGUAGAGUAGCUACUAGGGGGUUUAUCAGUGCCACCCCUCAAGUCACUCAGAGAUGGGUUAGAAGGGCUGAGAAAGAGGAUUGAGGAAAAGAAGGGUAAGUAACCUUUUAGGAACACAACAGGUAACCCUAAGGCACAUGCUACAAAAUAGAGCAACAUUAAGUGUUUUAAGUGUUUGAGGGUUGGACAUAUUUUAUUUCAAUAUUCCAAUCAACGUGCAAUGAUCAUACGAGAUGAUGAGAUGUCAUCAGUGAUCAUAAGAGUGGCAGUGAAUAGGAAGACAUGCCAUCAUUUGGAGCUAGUGAAAAAAUUAUUUGUGACAUCUCCAAUACUAAAAUAGAGCAUAAGGAUGUCAAGUACAGAAACAGAUUACGAGUGCAUUUAAAAAUAAUUUUAUGUAACAUAAUAAAUAUAUUACAAUCCCUUAUAAAAUAAGUUUAUGUUCUAAAUGUUACAAUACUGAGGCAACACAAAAAUAAAUACACGCCUCUCCAAAAGUGGACUCAUCAGAGUGCAGAACAAAACAUGCGCUCAUAAUGGUUCAUGGAUCCACGGGAUCCUCGAAGGCUUUAAUGGGUAAGUCAACGAGUGGUUCCUCAUUAUUGUCCUUAUCUUGGAGGGGCAUGGAAAAGGGUGAGUUCUGUAAACUCAGUAAGAAAAAUUUUAUUUAAACAACAUUAUUAAGAUUUUAAAGGUUCAUUAAAUUAAAAAUGUACCGCUAAUCAGUUACCGUCGCAUGGUCAUAUCAUGGGUUCAUUUCAAAUAUAAGAAAACAUUUCUUUUUAUUUUAAUUAGAAAGAGGUCAACAUCAAGACAAUCAUAUCAUGGUCAUAAUCACAUCAUAUAUAAAAUAAAGAAAAUUAAACAAACCAUGUCAUGAUUUCUUUCAUAUUUUACCUAUUCUUCGCAUGAAACCGUUUCGACUUAUAUCUAUUGACAGCAAUACGGAUUUCUGACUACCACUGUGGAAUGACAAAGUUCAUUUUAUUUUUAGCAAAUUUACAACUUGCUAAACCAUAGCACAUUUAUAGCUUUCCAAACUAUGACACAUUCUAUGAACACGGGUCGUGCCAGCCACAGUGAUCCUACAUGUAAACUAUAGUCACAACUGUAUGUCGCUACAGUGACCCCUACAAUCGUAUCACGUAACCACUCUCAUUAGAGGGUACGCUUCCAUCCACAGGGAGUAGUCUUCUCACGUCUUUUCAGAGCAUAUGGGGGAGAAACAGAACCCCUCAAAGAUAAAAAGCCUAACAUAUCAUAUUUAAUUUACAUGUCAUGCAUACAUGUUCAACCUUUAUUUUACAUGUUUGUCAAUUAAUAUCAUCCUUGAUGAAUACAAAUCUCAACGUAUUAUUUCUCAUUGUAUCAUCAUAAUCAUAUUAUUCAAUUAUUUUAUUUUAGCAUUAAUAUGACACUAAUCAUGCAAAUAUCAUAGAACUUAUAAACAUAUGUAUUUAUAGAUUUUCUUAACAAAUUAAGCAUGUAUCCUAUCAUUUCAUUUAUUAAUCUAAAAAUACCCCUUAAAACAUAUAAAUAAAUACCAAACUUCUCUUACUGAAAGCUUGUAGUUUUCCUAUGUUUUUCUUUUCUUAUUUUCUUUCCUUAUCUCUCUUUAGCUCUAUCUCUCUCUAGAAUUGCUUUCGUGAGUGGAAAUGAAGAUGAAGUGAUGAAGGAAUGGUGGAAAGAGGUCCAUCUUUAUUGAAAAAAUUGGACUAUUAGAUUUUUUUCAACUGGCACAAAUCCAUGAAGAGAGAGGGAGGGAAAAAGUUGACCGACGCGACACAACAACUGACGGACGUGAUUAACAAAUGGCCGACGAGACAGCAACAUGAUAGCAUCAUGAAGGCUGAGGGCACGCCGGCCAAGGGACGAUGCACGCCUCCCAAACAGUUGUGGUACGCAGGGCCCGCACAGGCAAGGAAAAUUUCUCGCAUCUUUUCUACAAGAUUUCUCCACCAUUUUCUUCCUCUGUUUUUUCUAAAAUUUUAAAAUUAAUGAUAAAUUAAAAUAAUAAGUGAAUAAAAAUAAACUUUAAUUUAAACCCAAAAUCAUACGGAAAUUAAAAACAUAAAUUUAAAUAGUUAACGGCCUUAGGGCCCGAAUAAAUAGAGGUUUUACACAACACAAUUAAGCGCAAAGGUUUCGGGGUGUUACAGUAUUGCUCAACUAGUUCAGAGAGAUGUGUUUGUGAUGUAACGAACUCUAAACAUAUAGAUUAAGUCAAAAGACAUGAUUAGAGGGAAACCAUCUUCCACUCUAGAUGCAUGGUUAACAGAAAAGUUUUUAGUGUGAUUAUUAAUGGAGGUAGUUGUACCAUUGUUGCCAGCACCUUAUUGGUUGAUAUGGUUGACUUGCAUACCGUAGCCUAAUCCCUACAACUGGUUAGAUAAUAAUGAGGAGAUUAGCAUCACCAAACAGGUAUGAGUUCUAUUUUUUUUUUUUGGUAAGUAUGAGGAUAAGAUAUUGUGUGAUAUUAUUCCUAUGCAAGUAGGAUACUUAUUUCUAAGAAGACUAUGGCAAUACAACCGAGAUGUUACUCACACUGGUGGAAAUAACCAUUAUUCAGUACGUAUGGGAGGUCUUACUCAUGUCCUGACUCCCUUAUUAAGAAGGGAAGCGUAUGAAGACUAGCUUAAAAUUAAAAAAUCUUAUGAUGAGUUCGUAGGAUGGCAGACAGAGGGAGACAAUGUCCCCACAGGAACUAAGAAUUAUUUCCUUGUGCAGGAACAAACAGAUGUUCCAAGCUACUCCAUUGAUUGCUUGGUAUUUUUUGUAGCCUCUUUGUAUUUGGAUAAGAAGUUACAUAAAGUGCAGAUUCGAUGAUAAAUCCUCUCAAAGAAAGGGGGAUAAUAUGAUAAUAACUGAGGAAAAGGCUAGUGACAAACAAGAAGUUCAUAUGAAAACCAAUGGGUAAAAAAGGUUAAGCAAUAAUGUGUUUACCGAACACACUCAGAAGUAUUCCUGAAUAAAAAGUAUCCAAGAUAAAUCCACCCAGGUACAGGCCCAAGGUAGUGAAUCAGGGACUCAAAAAUGAUUAACUAGAUCCAGUCCUCGGCCUAAGAAGUUAGAAAAUAGAUAAAUUAUUGGGUCUCAUAGCCAAGGAAAGACUCGGUCUAUGAAUCCCGACCUAAAAGGAAGCUCAAAACAUGAUUUAGGCAUGGAUACCCAUUAGCUACAUGUGUAUAGCCCUUCACAUGUGCGAACCAUGACCCUCGCACAUGCGGCCACUUCACUCAUAUAGACAAGCAGCAGAUUAUCCCAAGUUCUCCAAGGAUUCUAAGACUUCUACAAAUUAUCCCAUGUGUUUAAAAUGCAAAUUAAAGAAGAAUUUCAACUCAAAUUAGAAGACCAAAGAAGAUCAAGCUACUUGAAAAUUUGGGUAAGAAGAAAAGAAUAUUUUAUUAAUAAUUUUAAUUAUUUUUAUUAUUUUAAUUAAGUUAGGAUAAGACUCAAUGAUUUUAAUAUUUUUAUAUUUGUUUUCUACUUAAUUAUAGUCUAAGAGUUUGGAUAGGAAUUUGUAAUCCUAUUCCGAUUAGAAUUAGUUAAUAAAAGUCUAUGCAAAGGCUUCAAUCCUUAGGAUGUAAUCACAACUUUUGAUAUUAAUAAAAUUAUGCUUUUCUUUUCUUCAUAAUUAGCUUUGUCUAAUUUCUUUGAGUAUUAUUCAAAUUCAUCAAAGUUAAAGAGCUUUUAGAAGUCUUGUUGAGUCGAAGAGUGGGGAUCGAUUUAUCGAGUAAGCCGUGACAUCUUUUCUUCUUCUUUUAUUUUUUCAUAUUAUCUUGUUUUUGCAUCUCAUAUAGGUGGGUGUAGAUUCAAGUAAGGAAAGGAAAUUAGGUGAUUAAAUAUUCUGAUUGCAUGCAUUGGUUGAGGUUUUGGGAGUCAAAACGAUCCUCUUAUACCCUCCCGCAUCAUAUACAGUACAUACUAAAUGAAUUAAUGAAUGAAUAUAAAUAUGGAUUGAACUAUAGUAGCAUUGAAUAUUGAAUGACUGGACUGAGAUAUCAUUAUGAGUUUUUUAUGAUAAUAAAUAAUUUUUCGAAGAAUUUUAUAUUAACCGAAACAUAUUAAUUUAAUAAAUAAUUUUCUAAUAAUAUUAGAGAAAUAAUUGGUUGUUUAUUAAAUUUUUUAACUGAUGAACGGAUAAAUGAUUUAUGAUUUAUGAAUUUAUUGUUAUUUUUAACUUUUAUUAAUUUAUAUUCAUUUUUUGGAUAAAUUAUUAUUUAUUUAUUUAAUUUUAUUAAUUAUAAGUUAGGUGAAUAAUCUAUUAUUUAUAAAUUUAUACUAGCUUUAAUUAUAUUAAUUUUUUAAUUUAAAUUUUUUUUAUUAGAUCUACUUUAGUUUAAGUUGUACUCAAAUUUAUAUGUAUAUGUAUUCUAUUAGAGUCGUAUAACAUCGCAUCUGUACUCGAAUUGUUAAUUAAUAAAAUUCUCCUGUUAAAUUAAUUUUCCUAAUUUUCUUCAUUAUUAUUUUAAUUUAUUUUGCAUAAUUUUUGCAAAAUAGAAAUUAUUUCUAACUAAUCGGUUUAAUCUUCAAUAAAUAUUUGAGGACUAGAUGCGAAAAAUUUUGAAAUUUUGAAAUUUUGCCUUAAAAAUAAUAAAUUAAGGGUUUAGGGACCCAAAUGAAAUAAAUCGGGACAUUUGAGAGUCUUUUAUAAAUUGAAAUUGAGCCUAGGGACCUAGAUGAAAGAGAAUCGUUGAUUUAAGAGCCUUCUAUAAUUUUAAAGAAACAGGACAUGUUAGGGCAUGGCAUAUACAGAGAUCCUAUUCGAGCGCACUGUUUGGGUGACAUGUGUAAUAGUUCAAAAAUAACUUCAAGUUAAUUUAUUGUGUUUAAUAUAUUUAUUUAGUAUUUAUAUGUGUUUGAAAAUAUAUAAUAAGGUUAAGGAUAUAGUUUAGACUCAAACGGGAAGAAAAACUGAGAGACACGUAGAGAGGUUUAUAAUGGUUUGUUCUUUGAGCCUUAUGGGUUUAUAUGGGCCUAAAGGAGUCUAAUGGGCUCUAUUUCAACUCAAAUUUGGAGUCAAAUGAAAAAAGGAUGAAUAAAGAUAACGAAGCAAAUGGAAGAGUGUGGAAGAAUCUAGAAUAAAUAUGAGGAGACACAAAAAAAAAGUGAAAACCUUUUAGAUGAAGUGAUAUAAUGAAAAGUGGUAACUUUUAAAUAAAGUGGCAUAAUAAAAAAAUGAUAACUUUUAUAUGAAGUGCCUAAUAAAAAGUGACAACUUUUAGAUGAAGUAACAACUUUUAGAUGAAGUGACAUGGUGGAAAAGAGGCAAUUUUUCUCUCGUGGCUCCCCACUUCUGUAAGUAGGGGAUGAGGGAAUGGAGGAGGGGACAUUGUGGAUGGUAGAGAAAGAAUGAGAAAUAUAGAGGCAAGGGAAGAAGAAAGAAUUCAAAGCGUGUGAUUUAGUUUUUUAGAUAAAAACCUUGGGAGAAACUCGGUUGGAAAACAAAGUAAAAGUAAAAGAAAAGGAAGAAAGCUUAAGGUCAAAAAGAGGUUAUAACCCAUGAUAAAGAAAGAAAGUGAUUCAAAUCAUCCCGGAAUGCCGCAAAAGGAAUUCGUAAAGCGAUAGAUAAAAAGAAAAUAUUUGAAAUACAAAUGCUUAAGACCUAAGGUAAAUGGGUAUUAUAGAUUCAUUAGUCUACGUAGUUUUGAAGUAUUUUAUGUAUUUUUAUGAUAAAAAAAGCACAAUGAUAGCGUUUAAAAAUGACAUCAUUAUCACCUACUUUUGAGUUAUUAAACUUGAUAAUAUGCUAUCUACUCCGAGUUAUUUUCUAUGUUUUAUUGCAAGAGAAGAUAUAAAGACAAAAUGAGAAAAAAUAACAUGAAAGAAGAAGAGUUCGUGAAAAGAGUCAUCAACUGAGAAACAAGCCUUGGGUAAGGUUUGGGUCCAGUAGACAAACAACUUAGUCAUGGGCAAGGCUAAGAGUCCCGCACAGUAGCAGAUUUAAAUUAAAACAACAUGCACUUUUUAAAUCUGGAAAUAUAUAUCAUUCCAGCCAAGAUCUAUGGCCAAAAAUCAAGAAACAAAUAUUCUGAAAAGCUUGGGAUAAGCCAAAAAUUACGAAAAAUGAUCCUAAUCAACAAAAGAAAAAAAAACCCCAGCCCCUCUUCUAUGAAGAGAGUGGCUGCCAAGUAGGUUCAUCACUCCUCUUCGUCCUGACGCCGCACACAACAGCUUAUGCUGCUUUUGCAAUUUUUUCUUCUUCAUUUUUCUUCUUCUCUUUACUUUACAAGAACUUAUUUGUGUUAAAAAGUCCAUCAUGAGUGGUUAAUUAUUAUUUUUUCCUAGUUGAUAGAUCUAACAAACUUCAGCAAUGUAUUUGUGAGAUUUAAUCGAAUUGGUUUUAUUUUUAUUUCAGAGCUGAUAUUUAUUUACUUUUUGUACCUAUAUAUAUUUGUUGUUUUGAAUCCGUUUGAAUAGGGUCCGUCAUAUGAGAAGAGAAACUGCGAGCAGCUAGCCGAACUCCUCAAAUCCGUAAUUGUUUGAGUAGUUUUGGCACCCAGUAGCGAUCAAUACUGCAUUGAGGAGGUAAGUAAUCUAAUUGACCGGUUCAUGUGGAUAAAUCAAGCAACUUGAAUCAUAUCCUUCGAACUCCAAAGGUCUUUACCAAGUUAAAUCCUGUGGACAUUUUUAGGACUGUUUGGCAGUGAAGAACCAACUAAUGAACAUUUCUUGAUUAGUUUAGGCAUAAGAAAUGAUUGGUUGUUAUAAUGUUUUAGAUAAUUAUAACUGUUUUACCAUAUUUUGGAUAAAAUGAAUCCUUGUAUCUAUGAUUAAUUACCUUAUUGGAGCUAACUAUUUCAUCAACUAGG
rnacentral:lncRNA from 1 species